rnacentral:rRNA from 1 species
AUACGUAGGGUGCAAGCGUUGUUCGGAAUCACUGGGCGUAAAGGGCGUGUAGGCGGGACGGUAAGCUAGAGGUGAAAGCCCGGGGCUCAACCCCGGAGGGUCUUUUAGAACUGCCGUUCUUGAGAAGGUCAGAGGUUAGCGGAAUUCCUGGUGUAGCGGUGAAAUGCGUAGAUAUCAGGAGGAACACCGGUGGCGAAAGCGGCUAACUGGGGCCAUUCUGACGCUGAGGCGCGAAAGCGUGGGGAGCAAACAGGAUUAGAAACCCCUGUAGUCC